rnacentral:rRNA from 1 species
AUCGAACGCUGGCGGCAUGCCUAACACAUGCAAGUCGAACGUGUGGCGGACGGGUGAGUAAUGUCUGGGAACCUGCCUGAUGGAGGGGGAUAACUAGUGGAAACGGUAGCUAAUACCGCAUACCAUCGGAUGUGCCCAGAGGGGAGUAGCUAGUAGGUGGGGUAAAGGCUCACCGAGGCGACGAUCCCUAGCUGGGCUGAGAGGAUGAUCAGUCACACUGGAACUGAGACACGGUCCAGACUCCUACGGGAGGCAGCAGUGGGGAAUAUUGGGCAAUGGGCGAAAGCCUGAUCGAGCCAUGCCGCGUGUGUGAAGAAGGUUUUCGGAUUGUAAAGCUCUUUAAGUUGGGAGGCGGUACCAACAGAAUAAGCACCGGCUAACUACGUGCCAGCAGCCGCGGUAAUUC